UGUUUUUUACUUUAAUUUUGUUUUGUAGAAACACAAAGAUCCUCUUUAACUGGCUUCCGGUAAGACGAUUAGGGUUCCGGCGUGCUGGACUGCCAUCUCUGUCAAAAAAGGUUCCUCAAAGAUAGUGGUUGUGGGUGGAAGACGAUGACACAAGCCUUGAAUCAAAUCCAUGUUUACUCGACCUCCAUAUUUUGAGGGUAAAGGUGAAGAUGACUUCUUUGACAGGACUUAAAGCAAGUUGAAGUUUGCACCAGAUAAGGGGAUGCGUUUAGAUGGUUGGCUGGAAAUCCUUACCAAAAACUGGAUAUAAUGGCUCAGUGUGGCUAACAGUAAGUCAUGCUGACCCUUCAGGCUCCACAUAAUCUUGAUGUCUUAUAAGUGAGUCGUUACCGUAUUAUGAAUGUAUCUGGGUGACUCUGGCAUGCUCUUAUUGGAUUUUGUGUUACACAUGAGAUCUGUGUGCUCUGGGUUUUAACAUAGAUUUAAUUGGGAACCAGACUGAUUGUUGUGCUUCUGCGUUUUAUCUGAGAUUUGCGAUGGGCGCCAGUAUGUUCCAGUGAUUGCGCUUGCCGGAUUUUUGAUAAUUGUUGCUCGGAUAUAAAAUUGGUUCACAGCAUGUGCUUCUAAGAUUUUUUUGCCUAUGUAGCAUGUGUCAAAAAAAAAUUGUUGAAAAGUCCUACCAAUGGUUUGUUUCUUAUAGAUUUUGUAAUGUGGUUUUAAUAAUUUUGGAAUUGUUGAGAUUUAUGAUGAUUGGAAUUUUUGGUUUUAUAUAAUGUCCAAUUGAUUGCAAACCUGACACAAAUGCUGUUUUUUGCGGCUCUGCAGAUCUGAUACACUGACUACGUGAGUGAUUUCAAUUUUUAUAAUUGGCAUGUGUGACCUCUUGAUUACAGGUAAUGGUAUGAAGCUUAUUUGUUUAAAAGUCAUUAACCAUAGUCCAGACAUAUGGUUAUGUAUAACAGUUACAAAGUCACCUAUGUCUUGUCUUCAAAGUUCAAUCUUUGAUCUCUAUUAACAUAUGGGCGAGCGUUUAAAGUCUAAAUAUGACAAGUUAAAGUCUAAAUAUGCCCUAACUCAACCCCCAUGAUUCGGAGACCUCAUCUUCUCUAUGCAAUCCGAGAAGCCUGGCAACAAGACCGAGCACAUUUUAUGUUGCCUUCAUCCUUAUCUUCCUGUUGUCCACUGUUCCAGAGACUUUCCAUUCGACGGUAUGUAUAUCAGUUUUCUUUUUUUUUUUACUAAUUCUCUAUAACCUGUAACAGCACAUCGAUUUUAUGUUGGUUCGACCAUCAAUUGAAGGUGGAACUUGUGUUAUUUUUUGUAGUGGUUGUUUGAUGUUUAGUGCAUGGUUUAAAAAAAAGGCCUGAGGCGUGCGCCUCAAGGCGAGCCUCGAGGCGAAACAGCCAAAAAAUGAGUCUGAGACGCGCUUCAUGGGGGGUUUUUACUGCAUAUGCGCCUCGGAGGGGCUAAGGCGCUAAGAAAGGCUGUGCCUCAGGUGCGCCUCAUGGGAUUUUCAUUGUUGUUUUUGAUGAAUCUGAUGAUGAAAUUAGUUAGUAUUAUUAUUUUUAUAAUAUAUAUAAUUUUUAUAUUUAUUUAUUAUUACCGCCUCGGCCUUACGCCUCGUUUCACCUCGAGGCUUACACCUCGUGAGGCGAAGGGAAAUUGCCUCGAAACUCAUUUCCGUUCUUUUAAACCUUGGUUUAGUAGGCGAUUUUCACCUUCAACAGCAGCUGUAGCUUAUGCAACCAUCAAAUCCCAGUUUGACACCUUCGCAGAACCGGUAAAUACCGGUACCGAACCGGUAUAUUCGGACCGUUGCCUACUUUUCCCGUUUUUCGGUACCGGUACCCCCUUUUCCUGUUUUUCAGUACCGGUACCGGUUCGGUACCGAACGCGUACCGUGCUCAUCCCUAAGUUUUGUACACUCUUACUUUUGUCUUUUUAACAGACCCUCUUGAUACUACAAGGGUUCCUAAAAUAGUUGAUGAAAAAGGGUUAAACAAGAGCAAGGGUCUGCUGAAAUACUUUGCUCACCCUCUGCAGAGUUAAAUGUCAUGUUCCCACCACUAUAUUUAUGACUUAUUUAUUAACUACUGUAAGCAUUUAGCAUCAGCAGCUCAGAUGGAGUAGAAUUGCGGUGCCGAAGGUCAAUUAUUUCGUGUGGAGGGCAAUCAAUGGGCGGAUUCCUACAGCUGAUGCUUUGGCUAUUAGGAAUGUGAACGUUGGAAACAGAAGUUGCCCUCUAUGCAGGACAGUUCAGGAGACUGCGGCCCAUCUGUUCACUACCUAUCUUGUUUUGAGGGCAGUGUGGUGGAUCAUUUGGGCUUGGGUUAAAAUCCCGCAUCCAGUUGCGGCUGAGACUCUAGAACAAGUCAUCCAGUUUGGGGCGAAUUUAGUCAUGCCGACUUUGAGGAAAAAGGUAAUAAAUGCGAUCUUUUUCAUGACUAUCUGGAAGAUUUGGAUACAUCGCAACGAGAAGAUUUUCAAAGGUAAAGCAGUGUCGGUAGAUAAUAUCAUAGAGGAGAUCAAAAAACUAACUUACUUUAUCGUUUGGGAGUGAAUUAAUCGGUAUGCAAAGAGACUGGAAUGAGGAACUACAAUCUUGUAGAGAGUUUCCUCAUGCAAGCCCUCAAGAAAGGCCUUAUGACUUACUUUCGUGAAGAGGUGGCAGCUUCAACUCUGUUAUUUAUAAAUGGGUUGGUUUCGAAUCUGUUUUAUCUCAUACGGGUUAAAUUGAAAACUUCAGCGAAAAGGGAGCGGGUCAAAUGAGAUAAAAGUCUCUUGAGUGUUAUUUAAAGAUUUAGAUUUUUAAAUAAUCCAAGUUUUUUAAUUGGACCAAA